UUAGAUUUCAAAGAAGAAAUAUCUACUUGUGAAACAAUAAUAGGUACCUAAUAAAAAAAUGCUGAAACUUUACACUAUUCUACUUUGGUGUGUUGCACUUUUCCUUUUUUCUGUCAAUGGCCAAGAAUGUGUAGAUGAAGGUGAAUGGUGCGUUCGUCGCAGUUGUUGUCAAGGUCUGCGAUGCUUUAAUGGAAGAUGUUUAAAAAGAAGGAGCAGUUAAUCAAACGUUUGGCCAGACAAUCAAAUUUUCAAUUCUAAAUAACAUUUGCUUGUUAAGUAAAAUUCUCCAAGCUUUUCUUUUAAAAUUUUUUAAGUAAUGAAGCUAAAUGAAUUUAUAUUUAAAUAUAUAAAAAAAAAUUGCUAGGCAUACUUAUAUUGGUUUUACUCCAAUUUUCAGAAAUGUUAAAAAAAAUAAAACCUAAUUGUUCCUAUUUUUAAUUCUAAUAUAAUAAAUAAAGAAAUAAAUAAAAUGAAAUUAAUUCAAAAUUUUAGGAUUGAAAAAUAAAUAAAAUAGCAAGGAGUGUGUCAAUGUUUAACAUACAAAAUUCAAUUAUUUGAAUGAAAAUUUUUUUUAUA